UAUAUUUUCAUAAGUUGAUUAGUGCACAAAUAACCAAAGAAAUGUAUGAAUACACGAAGAAAAAUGGAACCAAGUAUGAACUAAGUAUGUCCUGUAUAAAGUUGCUCUUAUUUAGAAACAAAUUCUAGGAUUUUACUAGGGUCAGAUAGGCAUUUCUGUUCUAGAUUUCCGAAAAUGAAAAUAUUACUCAUUUUCUUGAAAAGGAAUAGAUGGUUGGAAAAAUUAAUUCAUUUGUUCCUGAAUUAUAAACUCAUUUAGACUAAUAAUGAAUGAGUUAAUAGAUAAAAAGGUCAAGAACUGACCACUCAUGAGAAUGUUAUAAAGCCAGGAAUGAGAAGCAGCUGAUUCUUUAAGGCAAAGCUAACUUGCAGAGAAUAGCAAGACGAUUACAUGUUUGAGUAGCGGCACUGGGGCCAAUAUGUCCCAUAGUCAGAUGUUUUUCUUAAUGCAGGUGAUGGAUUCAAGAGUGUUCACUAUUGAUGUAAAAUUCAUAACCGAAAUAAUUCAAUAAAUAAAAGGAGAGUGAGUCUAAUCUAAGGAUGGGGAGUGUCGUGAACCAGUGUUUGAGAUGAACCUAACCCUGAUCAUUUCAUAUUUAUUCAGACACAGCCUGAAUCUUUUUGUUUCUUACCUGUAACAUCUACUUUGUACUUCGCAGUGUUGAUGUUCAUGGGUGAUUGAUCAUCCUGUAGUGACGGUGGUAUUGACUGUUCCCCAAAGGACAAGGAGUGUGUUCUUACAAUGGACAUCAUGAUUGGGAUUGUCUUUAUUAAACUUUGUCAGGAGAGUAAAGAUGAAUGUGGCCGCGUGUUGUGGCUCAUGCCUGUAAUCCCAGCACUUUGGGAGGCCGAGGUGGGCGGAUCACCUGAAGUCGGGAGUUCGAGACCAGCCUGACCAACAUGGAGAAACCCCGUCUCUACUAAAAAUACAAAAUUAGCUGGGCAUGGUGGUGCAUGCCUGUAAUUCCAGCUACUCAGGAGGCUGAGGCAGGAGAAACGCUUGAACCCGAGAGGUGGAGGUUGCAGUGAGCUGAGAUUGUGCCGUUGCACUCCAGGCUGGGCAACAAGAGUGAAACUGCAUCUCAAAAGAAAAAAAAAAUAAAAUAAAAUAAAACAAAAAAAGAAAAAACCAGUGACUAAUAAAUCAACAAAUAUAGAAAUGGAUGAGGAAAAAGAUGUCAAGUCCUGAACUCGUGGUGAUGGCUGGUGGCAUAUUUAGUCAUAGAUGAUGAAUAAAUACAUGCCUGAGACUCUGAGAUGGAGGCUGUCUGCAUUAGGAGCAUGGAGACCAACAAUGGAUGCUCUUAAACUGAUUUAAACACGCUUCCAUGGUCACAAGCCUUAUGGUUGCCACGGGGCAUUAGGAGCAUGGAGACCAAUAAUGGAUGUCCUUGUUCUGAUUCGAGGAUGCCUCCAAGGUCACAUACUCUGUUUGCACCAUGCUUAGGAAGGAGCAUGAAGACCAAGGGGAGUAAUAGUCAAAGUCCUUACCUUCGUUUGGGUGGUUUGUUUAAGAGUAAUCAACGUAUUAUUUAAAAGUGUGAAAUAUAGUCAAAGAUGGCCAAUGUUAUUCCAGUGAUAUGGGAGUGACAUGAAGUAUUAUAUUGAUGAUGCAUAUAUAAAAAACAGGAUAGUUAAUGAAACACCCAAUGUUUGAGUGAUUCUGUAUACUGAUAUGGAAUAUCAAGAGUGUUACUGGGUUUUGUGAAUCAUGGGCCUUGAAAGUAUUAUUAAUGAAUAAACGACUUAAUCAAUAGACAAGGUAGAAAUGAAUAGCAAAAAAAAGAUCAACCCUGAAUCAAUGAUGACUACUGGUAGUGUACGAGUUACACAUGAUGAAUACAUGUCUGAAACUCUGAGGUCCAUCACAAAAGAAAUCUGGCCCAUUCCUUCUGAUUCAGGUGAUCCUAUGAAUAUACAAUGUGUUUGCUUUUCGUCUUUGGGUUUGUUCACUUCAUUGUGUUAUUAUAAUUGGAUCAAUGAAAUAAUUUAUACAUAUACAUGUAUGUAUAUGAAGGGGAUGAAGUAUUGUCCAAUUAUAAAAUGAUUGGUGAGGCAAGAUGUAUUAUUAUUAUUAUAUCAAAGCUUUAAUAUAUUAAAUAAAAAUAUAAUAUUAAUUAAUAUAUAAUUAAUGCAAUAUUUAAUAUAUAGUAAAUAUAAUAAUAUAUUAAAAUAUUAUAUUAAAGCAGUGAAGUCCUAAGAGAAAUAAAUGUUACACCACUGUAACGUCUUUGACUAAGGAUGAUACAGAUGGUAUUUAUAGAUAAUGGUCAACCUCUGGGUCAAGGAAAGUUGCACAAAGUGUUCAUUUUCUUAAGAGAAAAUGAAAUAAUUAUACUUCAGAUAAUGAUUUCUAAAAUAUUUUCCUAAAGGGAAGAUGAUAAACACAGAUCAAGGAGGAUUGUUUCAUCUGUUUGUGAUCUGCUCUGCUCUGUGAGCCUCAGGAUGGAUGUUUGCCAGCCGGUUCCAUGGUUACAAGCUCUAUAGCUGCACCUAUGUGUUAGGAGCAUGAAGACCAAUAAUGGAUGCACUGAGCUGAUUAUGAAUUUAGCCCUGAUCAAGACUUGUGUUGCUGUCAUGAAUGAUAUGAAAGAUUCCAGUGUGAGUAACAGCCAAGUUCUUGUGGUGUUUGGGUGGUUUGUUUAAGGAUAUUUACUGUGUUAUUGAAAAUAAAAAAAGUCAAAUAAUAUGUAUAUAUAUAUAAUGAAUAUCAAUGAUAGAAUUGAAUUAUGUGAACCAUAAAA